rnacentral:rRNA from 1 species
AGCUCCAAUAGCGUAUAUUAAAGUUGUUGCGGUUAAAAAGCUCGUAGUUGGAUUUCUGUCAAAAUCGGCCGGUCCCUUCUACGAAGGUGUAUCUGGUUCGGUUUCGGCAUCCUCUUGGGGUACGUUUCUGCGCUUGAUUGCGUGGGACGGAAUUCAAGACUUUUACUUUGAGGAAAUUAGAGUGUUCACAGCAAGCCUUUGCUUUGAAUAUGUUAGCAUGGAAUAAUAAUAUAGGGCGUGAGUUCUAUUUUGUUGGUUUCUAGGAUUCACGCAAUGAUUAAUAGGGACAAUUGGGGGCAUUCGUAUUAACGCGUCAGAGGUGGAAUUCUUAGAUUGCGUUACGACGAACUACUGCGAAAGCAUUUGCCAAGGAUGUUUUCA